UAGGCCUCCCUAUUCUUGGAAACAUCUUCCAGCACUUCCUGGGUAAUACCAAGAGGGCUUCUAGGAAGUCUGAGAAAUACUAUUCCUCCAGCAUGCCUUCAUGUCCUGGGCCUUCUCUCAGUGGGCUAUGUCUUGCACAGUCCCAGGAGAGACCACAAUGGACAACCUAUCUACCAGCCCAGAACGCCUCACCUCACCUCUUUCUACUCAGAGAACCUCCCAAAGCCAACUAGAAAUGAAUUUCCUCUUUUACUCAUCUGAAGGCUGCCGCUGAUAGAAAAACAGAUCUCAACACAAAUUAAUGAAAGAGCAGGAGAGAAAUGAAUGUGCACAGCAGGGAACACAAAAUCAUAUCAGCAGCUUGCCAGGACUCUGCAACACCAAGUCAGUUCACCUGUUGCUUGAAGUCAUACCAGCCAUACUGAGUCGCUGUGUCCUGGAUUGUAUUCAUUGUUGGGAUCUGGAUCGUCUUCUGUCUAACUGUGUGCUAAGGACUGAUAGUGGAUUCAUUGGAUUCCCCUCAAGAAAAGGAGCGCUCCUGAACCAUCCAUCCAUCUUCACCCUUACAGUGUCUACUGAGUCACAGAGAGCAUGCAGCACUGGACACAAGGUGAGAAUGAGCAGUGGACAAGGUGUCAGUCAUUCAGUCAGUCCACGGGAAAUGAAAAAAUGAACAAGAACAAAACCCGAAAAAAGAGUUUAAC